GACGAACGCUGGCGGCGUGCUUAACACAUGCAAGUCGAACGGAAAGGCCCUGCUUUUGUGGGGUGCUCGAGUGGCGAACGGGUGAGUAACACGUGAGUAACCUGCCCUUGACUUUGGGAUAACUUAAGGAAACUGGGGCUAAUACCGGAAAGGAGCUCCUGCUGCUAGGUGGGGGUUGGAAAGUUUCGGCGGUUGGGGAUGGAGUCGCGGAGUAUUAGCUAGUUGGUGGGGUAGUGGCCUACGAAGGCGAUGAUGCAUAGCUGGUCUGAGAGGAUGAUAAGAUACACUGGGACUGAGACACGGCCCAGACUCAUACGGGAGGCAGCAGUGGGGAAUAUUGGACAAUGGGCGAAAGCCUGAUCCAGCAAUGCCGCGUGAGUGAUGAAGGCAUUAGGGUUGUAAAGCUCUUUUACCCGAGAUGAUAAUGACAGUAGCGGGAGAAUAAGCUCCGGCUAACUCCGUG
rnacentral:rRNA from 1 species